AAGUCAUAUCACAACUAUAACUAAAAAAGAUAAAGCGAAACACAAGUUUUCUAGUAGGAAAUAAUGUGUAUCUUAGCCCCUUAUGGGAUGGUCGAGUUGGUGGAGUAGGUGAACGUUGAGGCUUUUAAUCACGAGUUCGAUUUUUCAUACCAACUCUUUCUCGGACAAGCUUAUCGCACAGGGUCUGUCUAGUGAUGUUUACCUGGCUGGCGUGAUUUGUAGGCUGUUACAUUAGAUCGAGAGUUUACCAGUGCGCACUCGAAGGGUAGCAACUGUGGAUGAUAAUAAUAAUAAUAAUAAUAAUAAUAAUAAUAAUAAUAAUAAUAAUAAUAAUGUGUAGCUUAUUUCUUUCAUUUCUUAAUUGAUUUUGGAAUUUCUUUUAGCAUUAUCCCCCAUUAGGAAAGUUGUGUUUAUCUUAUAUCUUGUUGAAAAAAAUUGAGUGAGCUGCUCACUUUUGGCACAAUUUUCGAUGGGACCCAUUGGUCCAAUGUGAAAUAUCAAAGUUGAUAUGUGUUCUCCUCCGCGAGAACAUCGAUUUCAUGUAUUUAUUUGUCAAAAAUGAAGUUCGGGUGAAUAAGAAAUUGAAGCUCAAAGUUGGUCAUUGGAAGUUGGUUUUGUGGGAAAAAAUGCAUUUAUCCCACAUAGGAACAUCAAGGAAACUCAAAUCACUUUAUAUAUGGCUAUGCUUUGGAGAUGUGUAAUCAUGUGUAGCAUAGAGGCUCUCUCCACGUUCACGCGCAGGGGGGUGCAAAUCACGAACUGAAAUGAUCUUCGGACCUUGAACUUGGGUGCGGGCGCGACCUGCGCACAUGAAUGUCGGACCGAACAAGGCAAAAAUGGCCUCAUCGGAGAGCCCACGUUUUGCCAAUUUUUUUUAUUUGGCCUUCUCCAAUGACUUUUGAGUUUCUAAACUGAAAAAACUCCAAUGGACUCCCAAUGGUCACAAUAUUAAUGGGAAGGAACUCCAUUGGACUCCUAAUGGUCACAAUAUUAAUGGGCAAUAUGCCUAUAAAAAUGCUCAUUCUCCAACAAUCUAACACAUUCAAAAAUCUCACAUACAUUCCUGCAUACACAAUUUUUUCAUUUUUUGCAUUCCUUGUCCAGUAAGGUCUUGCCUUGUGGUGAUAUUGUUUGGAUACUAGAUCAGUUCGCUGGAGUAGGACCGUGGUGCUCGAAUUCUGCUUAUUACCGUUGUAUCCUGGGAGAUAGCCGCUCGGACUGAACCUCCAGCACCUACGGUGAGGGGGCGAAACUAUUUUAAGGAAACUGUGCACGCACAGGCCUCGAUUUGAAAUCUGCUGUAGUUUGUGUUUUCUUUCUACAGAUUAUUUUCGCAUUACUAUUUAAUUCAUGUAGUUUGUAGUUCCAUAUUGUGCAGCUUCCAAAUUCAUCGUUUACAGUUUUAGCCUGCAGUUAACUUAUAUUUCUGAUUUUGUAUUGCUAAACAUUUUUUUCAGCUUUGAAAAAUUCUGAAC
rnacentral:lncRNA from 1 species